UACGUAGGGUGCAAGCGUUGUCCGGAAUUAUUGGGCGUAAAGAGCUCGUAGGCGGUCAGUCGAGUCUGCUGUGAAAACUCGGGGCUUAACUCCGGGCCUGCAGUGGGUACGGGCUGACUAGAGUGCGGUAGGGGAGACUGGAAUUCCUGGUGUAGCGGUGAAAUGCGCAGAUAUCAGGAGGAACACCGGUGGCGAAGGCGGGUCUCUGGGCCGAUACUGACGCUGAGGAGCGAAAGCGUGGGGAGCGAACAGG
rnacentral:rRNA from 1 species